rnacentral:rRNA from 1 species
GGAGGAAAAGAAAAAUAACAAUGAUUUCCCUAGUAACGGCGAGUGAAGAGGAAAGAGCUCAAAGUUGGAACCUGUUUGGCUUAGCUAAACCGGAUUGUAAACUGUAGAAACAUUUUCCAGAUACACUAGACAAAAAAGUCCUUUGGAACAGGGCAUCAUAGAGGGUGAGAAUCCCGUCUUUGGUCUAAGUAGUUGUCUAUUGUGAUAUGUUUUCAAAGAGUCAGGUUGUUUGGGAAUGCAGCCUAAAUUGGGUGGUAAAUCUCACCUAAAGCUAAAUAUUUGCGAGAGACCGAUAGCGAACAAGUACCGUGAGGGAAAGAUGAAAAGAACUUUGAAAAGAGAGUUAAACAGUAUGUGAAAUUGUUAAAAGGGAACCGUUUGGAGCCAGACUGGCUUGAUUGUAAUCAACCUAGAAUUCGUUUUGGGUGCACUUGCAGUCUAUGCCUGCCAACGACAGUUUGAUUUGGAGGAAAAAAUUAAUAGGAAUGUGGCCUCUCGAGGUGUUAUAGCCUAUUAUCAUACUCUGGAUUGGACUGAGGAACGCAGUGAAUGCCUUUAGGCAAGAUUGCUGRGCGCUUUCGCUAAUAAAUGUUAGAAUUUCUGCUUCGGGUGGUGCUAAUGUUUAAAGGAGGAACUCGUUUAGUAUAUUUUUAUUCGCUAGGUGU